rnacentral:rRNA from 1 species
ACGCUCGACACCUACCGGAGGCAGCAGUGGGGAAUAUUGCACAAUGGGGGAAACCCUGAUGCAGCGACGCCGCGUGAGUGAAGAAGUAAUUCGUUAUGUAAAGCUCUAUCAGCAGGGAAGAAAGUGACGGUACCUGAGUAAGAAGCCCCGGCUAACUACGUACCAGCAGCCGCGGUAAUCUGAGCGGGCUGGCAAGGC